UAAGGAAUAUUGGUCAAUGGAGGGAACUCUGAACCAGCCAUGCCGCGUGCAGGAAGACAGCCCUCUGGGUCGUAAACUGCUUUUAUUCGGGAAUAAACCUAUCUACGUGUAGAUAGCUGAAUGUACCGAAGGAAUAAGGAUCGGCUAACUCCGUGCCAGCAGCCGCGGUAAUACGGAGGAUCCAAGCGUUAUCCGGAUUUAUUGGGUUUAAAGGGUGCGUAGGCGGCUUAUUAAGUCAGGGGUGAAAGACGGUGGCUUAACCAUCGCAGUGCCCUUGAUACUGAUGAGCUUGAAUACACUAGAGGUAGGCGGAAUGUGACAAGUAGCGGUGAAAUGCAUAGAUAUGUCACAGAACACCGAUUGCGAAGGCGGCUCUCUGGACUGUCACUGACACUGAGGCUCGAAAGCGUGGGUAGCAAACA
rnacentral:rRNA from 1 species